UUGAUUAGACAAAAAUACUCUUUGAAUACCCCUAUCUUAACAGCUUCUCCCCUAAACCCUAGCUUCUCCACCACCUCCGCAAGGACUGUCGCCGUCCGUCGCUCUCAGGCACUACCAUCGUCGUCUAGUCGUCCGUGCUUCUUCCUCCUUCAAGAAUCGCAGCUUCUUCUUCCUCGACCUCGGCGCGUCAAUUCCUGGUAUUCCUGGUAUCCAACUCUUUAAAUACUUGCUGAUAUAUUUGUAGGAUCUACACAAAAGCCUGAAGAUAUGUAUAGGAUUAUUGAACACUUUGCUCUUGGAAGGAGGAGGCUAGAACUAUUUGGUGAAGACCAUAAUAUCCGAUCUGGUUGGUUGACUGUUGGUAAAGAACUUUCUUCUUCAAAUUUCAAUAACGAGUACAAGUUAUUAGAAGGUUGAAAGAAUAUAACAGCCGAUAUUGGUGAUUUUAGGAAUAUUAUGGGGUGUGAGUGGUGCACGGUGAAGGCUAAGUUCAAGAAUGGUGGAAGUGGUGCCGAGUUAUGGUUCGCUUGCAUGGUUUGACCUGUAGGCAUGUGGAUUUGAUGGUUCUUAGCUCGGCUCAACCGUCGUGGAUUAGGAAGGGCAGGGUUGUUUAAAUGGAUACCAUUUGGAACUCUUAUUGCCAAUGUAUCAGCUGCUUGUGUAAUGGCUGCACUUUCCACCGUAAAGGAAGCAGUCAAUACCAAAGAUUGUGACACUAUUGUAAUCGGAACACAGUUAGGUCUCUUGGGGUGUUUGAGUACUGUCUCAACUUUUGCAGCUGAGUUCAAUGCAAUGAAAGAAAGCAAUCAUCCUUGGAGAGCCUAUGUGUAUGCCAUUAUAACAAUGUGUGCCUUAUUUGUCCUUGUAAUCUUGAUCUACUAUGUACCUGUUUGGGCAACGGGAUAUGACACUAGCACAUAACAAUUGGGGCAUAGCAGAAGGCAAUAUCUACUUUUGACCUUUGGACAGUGUGUUUAUUGGUGGAAAAGUCCAAGUCUGACCACAAGAUCCUUCUUAAUUUUAGAAGCAAUGAAAUUUUUCUACAAGGAAGGACUCGAGUAUGGAGAAGUUGAGUGAUGCAAUUUACCACUUUUCUUUUAGGCUCAAUAAUUUCUAUAGAACUGUAUGCUGAUAGGACUUUCAUUAAUGUUUGAUCAGCUCUCAAAUUUUUAAUUAAUUUAGAUGAGCCAUAUCAUAAGGAGAAAAAAGAUGACAAUGGUACAUAUAUCAUUUCUGCAAAGGAAACUAUGGUCUAUGGCUAAAUGAGUCUCCAAGGUCUAAUACAGUUGCUGCCAGAGAUGAUAAGUUUAUCAUUAGAAAGAAAAUAUGCUAUUAGAAAAGAGGAAAAGGGUGACAAGAAAUUGAAGAAUAUAUUGACAAACUUGCCAAUUAGUGAUGCUCUUAGAGCUAGAUUUACAAAACCUUGGCCUUGCUUAUCUUCAUA